rnacentral:ncRNA from 1 species
ACAGACUUAGUCCUAACCUUACAGUUAAUUCUUGCCAGACAUAUACAUGCAAGUAUCCGCACCCCAGUGUAAAUGCCCCAAACCCCUAUUUAGACCUACCAGGAGAGAGGAGCGGGCAUCAGGCACGCUUCAAUGUAGCCCAAGACGUCUUGCUCAGCCACACCCCCACGGGUAUUCAGCAGUAAUUGACAUUAAGCAAUAAGUGUAAACUUGACUUAGCCAUGGCAACCUCACAGGGCUGGUAAAUCUUGUGCCAGCCACCGCGGUCAUACAAGAAGCCCAAAUUAACCGUCACCGGCGUAAAGAGUGGUACUACAUUAUUAUCCAACUAAGACCAAAAUGCAACUAAGCUGUCAUAAGCCCAAGAUGCACCUAAGACCAACCUAAAAACGAUCUUAGCAUUAAACGAUCAACUGAACACCACGAAAGCUAAGGCACAAACUGGGAUUAGAUACCCCACUAUGCUUAGCCCUAAAUCCAGGUACUUACUCAACCAAAGUAUCCGCCUGAGAACUACGAGCACAAACGCUUAAAACUCUAAGGACUUGGCGGUGCCCCAAACCCACCUAGAGGAGCCUGUUCUAUAAUCGAUAAUCCACGAUACACCCGACCCCUUCUUGCCCAAAGCAGCCUACAUACCGCCGUCCCCAGCUCACCUCCCCUGAGAGCCAAAGCAGUGAGCACAACAACACCACGCUAGUAAGACAGGUCAAGGUAUAGCCCAUGAGGGGGAAGAAAUGGGCUACAUUUUCUAAUUUAGAAAACAUACGAAAGGAAGCCUGAAAAGAAGGAUUCCAGAAGGAGGAUUUAGUAGUAAAGAGGGAUAAGAAUGCCCCCUUAAACUCGGCCCUGGGACACGUACAUACCGCCCGUCACCCUCCUCAUAACCAAUAAACACUAAUAACUAAUGAAGAGACCAGGUUAAAGAUGAGGUAAGUCGUAACAAGGUAAGUGUACCGGAAGGUGCACUUAGAAU